UUCUUCCACCUUAACUGAGGAUUUGCUUGAUUCGACAGAGAUACAGACAAGCGUCCUCUUUUCAAUCGACAAGAAAUUGUCAAUUGCACUUGAUUUGCUUCGCCAGGAGAUCACCGAACUCAGGAAGAGCUUGGAAUUCACGCAACAACAAGUGAAUGAUCUAAGAUUAGAUAAUACUGCGCUUCGAUCAAACAUGAUGUCAACGUCAGCAGAACUACAAACUCUUAGACUGGAAUAUAAACUCAUGAAAGAAACUACGUUGGACAUUCAAUCAAGAAGCAUGCAUGACAACCUCAUUUUCUCAGGCAUUCCAGACAAUGCUCUGGAAGACCCCGAGGAGCAGAUUAAAAAGUUUAUGAUGACCGCGCUCAAGAUACAACAAGAUACAGUCGACAAGAUUACUUUUCACCGUGUCCACCGAUUGGGAGGCCCUCAUCCAGGAAACCGACUACGUCCCAUCAUUGCAAAGUUUGAACACUUUCAGCAAAAAGUGUUUGUAAAAUCCAAACGUCGGGAUCUUAAAGGGACUUUGUUUGGAAUGAACGACCAGUUCCCUAAGGAGAUUAAUGAGACGCGUAGAGUUUUGUACCCGUUGAUGAAGAAUUUCCGUGAGAAAGGCAAACGAGCGUGGUUAGUUGUCGACAAGCUAUAUGUCGACGGCCAACUGUUUCGUGAUGACAACGUCACGCCCUGGCUCUUCUAGAUAAGUACUACUUUUGAUCUGUUGUCAGUAUGAAUUGUCAAAAAUGUAUUGUAUUUUGUUUCAUUCUUUCCACUUUUGCGUAGAUAAACAAAAACGGAAUCAUGCAUGCCACCAGCAUGCAUCCUCACUCCUAUCUCCCUGCUUUCCUGCUCUACUUGCUUCCACACACACUAAACGCACAAGUCGCGCAAAACUCUUUUUGCACACCACAAACCACCACCAUACAACAUAUUAUCCCCUUGUCAGUUUGUUUCCUAUGUUCAGUGUUUGCUCGUUACCCUUCUAUGUACCCUUGCUUUGCAGUAUUUGAAUAUAGCAUCUCUAUCACCCUCUCUAAAUAACAUUCGUCAACACAAUACCAAAUAAUCUCCCGAAAACUGUCAAAAAAACAACAACAAAGAAUGCAUAGUACCAAAUCUUUUUCAAAUUAUGAUACACACACCCAUUAUAUGUCACACUUAACAUUUGUCAAUGGCAUUCGAUCACAGGCAAAGAGAAUUAACGUUAUGGAUUAUACCACUAAACUUAAAACAGACCUCCUCCUAUUACAAGAAACACACCUUACUAAGUCAGAAGAAAAAUGCCUCAUUGACUCUAAUUUCACUCAUGUUAUCUCGGCCUUUUAUAACUGUAGACAAAGAGGAGUCUCAAUACUAGUCCAUAAAAGUGUCAUGGGUGUGUGUUCUGGUUUUUGUCUUCCCCCUGUUUCAUACACACCUGAACAUGAGGGCAUCUUCACCACCUGUGCCUCGUUCACCCUAAUUACACCUUGCAUUUUCCUUCCGGCUGAGGGAAGGGCUGUGCUUCUACUGCAGGCAGUUGGGUAAUUCCAUGAGCCACUGUCACGUCAAGGUUGCCGGUGCCGGUACCAAGGGCACGGGAGAGGGCCGGAACACAAGGCUAUAAAGGAGUAUGUGGAUGAAUCACUGGCAGUCGGGAUUAUUCGCCCAUCUUCAUCCCCUGCGGGAGCCGGAUUUUUCUUUGUGGACAAGAAGGACAAGACUCCGCGACCCUGUAUCGAUUACCGGCGUCUCAACGACAUAACGGUGAAAAACAGGUACCCUCUUCCUCUCAUCUCCACCGCCUUUGAGUUCCUGGAGGGAGCGAAGGUUUUCACCAAACUCGACUAAAGAAAUGCAUAUCAUUUAGUCAGGAUAAAGGAGGCGGAUGAAUGGAAAACAGCCUUCAACACACCAACGGGACAUGACGAGUAUUUGGUGAUGCCUUUUGGACUAACUAACGCUCCAGCUGUGUUCCAGAACUUUGUCAAUGAUGUCCUGCGUGACAUGUUGAAUGUGUAUGUUUUUGUGUACUGCAGAAUGAACUAUAUGUCAAGGCUGAGAAAUGUGAGUUCCACAAGGAGUCCGUUUCUUUUCUGGGGUUCGCGCUGGCUCCAGGUGAAAUCAAAAUGGACCCUUGCUAAGUUGAUGCCGUGACUAAUUGGCCCACUCCCACGUCACGCAAAGACGUACAAAGGUUCUUAGGGUUCGCUAAUUUCUACAGAAAGUUCAUUCGAAACUUCAGUUCUAUAGCCUCGCCUUUGCAUGAUCUUACCUCGCCACACAGACCUUUCGUAUGGAACCCGCUUUGGCAGGCAGCUUUUCAGAAACUUAAAUCGAGCUUUACAUCCGCUCCCAUCCUCACUUUGCCAGAUCUCAAACAGCAGUUUAUGGUAGAAGUAGAUGGGUCUGAUGCCGGUAUAGGAGCAGUGCUCUCCCAGAAAUGUCUCAAGGAUGGUAAAUUACAUCCUUGUGCUUAUCUCUCCAAAAAACUGAUCCCAGCCGAGAGAAAUUAUGACAUUGGUGACCGUGAACUGCUGGCAGUCAAGGUGGCUUUGGUGGAGUGGAGGCACUGGCUAGAGGGGGCAGAUACUCCGUUUUUAGCAUGGACAGAUCACAAGAACCUGGAAUAUCUUAAGUCUGCCAAGAGAUUAAAUGCGAGGCAGGCUCGAUGGGCUCUGUUUUUCACUAGUUUCAAUUUCACGCGUUAUCCUACCGACCUGGUUCUAAAAAUGGUAAGCCAGAUGCUUUAUUGCGCAUUUUCUGCGCAGAGAAUUUUUUGUCCGACCCUCAAACCAUUUUGCCCAAGUCGUGUUUCGUUUCUGCUUUUGUUUGGGACUUUGAGACUGCGGUAAAGGAGGCUCUGAAGAACACUCUUAGCCCGUAAAAUUGCCCUGAAAACAUGCUUUAUGUGGCUCCGACCUCAAGGGGAAGAGUCAUCCACUGGGCCCACACUAACCGGACUGUAUGUCACCCAGGCAUUGCCAAGACUCAAUCUGUGGUCGAACAGCGCUUUUGGUGGCCCAAUGUUAGAAGGGAUGUCACCAAUUAUGUCAAUGCUUGCCAGGUAUGUGCUGCCAACAAGUCCUCUCAUAAAGGUCCUUCUGGGGAGUUACGACCCCUGCCAAUACCACAACGUCCUUGGUCAGACAUCUCCGUAGACUUUGUAACGGGAUUACCGGUCUCGAAAGGAAAUACCACCAUUCAAACAGUCAUGGACAGGUUCUCUAAGAUGGCACACUUCGUUGCACUCCCAAAACUCCCCUCAGCUAAAGACACUGCCGAGUUAAUGAUACACCAGGUAUUCAAGUUGCAUGGUUUCCCCAAGAAUGUGGUAUCCGAAAGGGGUCCCCAAUUCAUUUUGCAAUUUUGGAAGGAGUUUUCCAAUCUCAGAGGUGCUACCGUCAGUCUGUCAUCUGGGUUUCACCCUGAAACCAACGGCCAAACCGAGAGCCUGAACCAGGACCUGGAGACUGUGCUCCGAUGUCUCGCUUCAUAGGAGCCACGAUCCUGGUCUCAGAAACUGGUUUGGGUUGAAUUCUCUCACAAUUCCCUCCCCUCUGCAUCCACUGGUCUAUCGCCUUUUCACGUUGUGCAUGGUUACCAACCAUCUCUGUUUCCUGCCAUAGCCCCAGAGUCUACAGUUCCAGCUGCAUUGACCUUGGUGAGACGCUGCAGGAGGACCUGGGAGCGAGCCCGCCAGAUGUUGCUGCGCCAGGGACGGUCCUACAAAACCACUGGUGAUUGUCGGAGGACACCGGCCCCGAGCUACAAAGUGGGUCAGCGAGUUUGGCUUUCCACCAAGCAUAUUCUACUCCAGGUGGAGUCCCGGAAGUUCACUCCCAGCUUAGGCUCCCAAGGUCGAUGCGGGUCCACCCUGCUUUUCACGUCAGCCUGCUCAAACCAGCCCGGGUGUACCCUGUGGUCCCGCCUUCCAGGCGUUGAAUGUGUAUGUCCUGUCCUCACUGUGAGGCGGCUGUUGUCGUCUCGUCGGAGGGGGAGGGGGUUUCAAUAUCUGGUGGACUGGGAGGGCUAUGGGGCUGAGGAACG